rnacentral:rRNA from 1 species
UACGUAGGGCGCAAGCGUUAUCCGGAAUUAUUGGGCGUAAAGAGCUCGUAGGCGGUUUGUCGCGUCUGCCGUGAAAGUCCGGGGCUCAACUCCGGAUCUGCGGUGGGUACGGGCAGACUAGAGUGAUGUAGGGGAGACUGGAAUUCCUGGUGUAGCGGUGAAAUGCGCAGAUAUCAGGAAGAACACCGAUGGCGAAAGCAGCUCUCUGGGACGAUACUGACGCUGAGGCGCGAAAGCGUGGGGAGCGAACAGG